rnacentral:misc_RNA from 1 species
GUGAAUCAUCAAAUCUUUGAACGCAAAUUGCACUCCCUGGUAUUCCGGCGAGUAUGCCUGUUUGAGGGUCGUUAGAAGAAAAAUCGAAGCAUCGCUCUUUUUUUUGAGGGUGAUCGCGUCGGUAUGGAGCCGUCUUACCGGCGGGUUAAGUGACUUAAAAUUUUUGUAUGAUAUCUAACGUAUUUAAAUUUAUUUGGUACGUUUGUAAUAUCAAAUGUUUAUUAGGUGUGGUCAUUUUCAUGAUUCACGUCCUAUAAUUUUUCAUCUAAUGACCUCAAAUCAGGUAAGAAUACCCGCUGAA